AGCAGCCGCGGUAAUUCCAGCUCCAAUAGCGUAUAUUAAAGUUGUUGCAGUUAAAAAGCUCGUAGUUGAAUUUCGGGGUUAGUAGAUUGGUCGUGCCACUGGUAUGCACUGGUCUCACUGAUUCCUCCUUCCUGAUGAACCGUAAUGCCAUUAAUUUGGUGUUGCGGGGAGACUGGACUGUUACUUUGAAAAAAUUAGAGUGUUUAAAGCAGGCUAACGCUUGAAUACAUUAGCAUGGAAUAAUGAAAUAGGACGUUCGAUCCUAUUUUGUUGGUUUCUAGGAUUGACGUAAUGAUUAAUAGGGAUAGUUGGGGGCAUUAGUAUUCAAUUGUCAGAGGUGAAAUUCUUGGAUUUAUUGAAGACUAACUACUGCGAAAGCAUUUGCCAAGGAUGUUUUCAUUAAUCAAGAACGAAAGUUAGGGGAUCGAAGACGAUCAGAUACCGUCGUAGUCUUAACCAUAAACUAUGCCGACUAGGGAUCGGAUGAUGUUAUUUUAAUGACUCAUUCGGCGCCUUACGG
rnacentral:rRNA from 1 species